ACACAGUUUCCUAAUCCUGAAACCAGCAAUCACAAAGUCAGUUCCUCAUCAAGAGAUCAAAGUCAUUCAUUUUGGAUACAAUCAUAUUUUCAGGCUAAAGGGAAGGUUGGGAAGGUCAGGCAUUAGAAUGCUGGAGGAGUGUCCUUGGCAGAGAAGCCUUCUCACCUUUUUUUUUAAUGUAGGACUAAGCCAGUGGAUCACAAACAUCCUGGAGAGCAGUGACUCUGUGAUUCCAUCACAAGAAUAUGAAGGACUGAGAAGAUCUCCAGCUCUGCCCAUUGCACCUUCCCAUUGAGAAGCAGCAUGGCACCCUGGUGGCAGGGGCUGAUACUCAGCCGGGCCAGGGUGCUCUCCUGUUAACCAUAACCAAGCUCACAGGACAUGGGAUGAGCCCACUGUGUGACACAGGGAGCGGGACACAGUCUGUUAAGUCUUGCACAGCCAUGCUCUGCCACGCAGGCAGGCCUUUCCUUGGCCUCCCUCUCCCUGUUCGUGCUCAUGUGAACAUCCACCUACGUGGAUAGACUGGGCUUUGGUUCAUUAUUGCUCUGUGAAUUCCUCGAACUUCCGCAUCUGCCCAACCUCCCCCACCCCAUUGUUUUCAUUGUGUUUCACCAAAUGGAAAUUCUAGAGUAAGCAUGUGAGUCCUCUCCCAAACUUGUUCACUGUUGAGAGUGCUAAAAUGCUAACCCCAGAUGCUAACUGAGGGGUAGGGUUACCUUAUCUUUAGAGCACUGCGAAUUGUAUGUUAAGUGGAACUUAAUGAAAAAAUAGUUAAUUGACCAACAUGAAUAUCCCCUGAACAGAAUCUCCCCUGAACAGAAUCCUACAAUGAAACUAAGGGAGAUAAAUAAAGCUGUUUACCUGAAAGCUCUCUCUAAUCAAGAUCCUUUGAAAUUUAUAAAACAUGGUCAAUAUUUGCACUGGACUUUGUAAAAAUAAAGCUUGAUAAGAGAAGA
rnacentral:lncRNA from 1 species